UCCUACGGGAGGCAGCAGUGGGGAAUUUUGCGCAAUGGGCGAAAGCCUGACGCAGCAACGCCGCGUGAGUGAUGAAGGCUUUCGGGUCGUAAAGCUCUGUCGAGGGGAAAGAAAUGUAUUGUGGCUAAUAUCCACGAUACUUGACGGUACCCCUAAAGGAAGCACCGGCUAACUCCGUGCCAGCAGCCGCGGUAAUA
rnacentral:rRNA from 1 species